rnacentral:lncRNA from 1 species
GCCACGUGGCUUCCUUUUAGACAACCUGGAAGUAUUUGAAGGUCAGCAAAUACAAGCACUUGAUUCAGAAACGGAUAAAGUAAAUAGUAGGCUGGUGUUCUUUGGGAGCAGUUAAUGGUGCCAAAUGGAGAGAGAAAAAAACCCGACUUUGCUUUAUGCUCCAUUUUAAUCAGGUUCCUAUUCCUCCGAUCCUGCGCUAAAUUUUCCUUACUGAGUUUUGGGUUUUAUUUGAGUUGUGCUCAAGGCAUAAGGAAUCUAAACUAGUCAGUGGUGUGAGAAUUUAAUGAACGAGGAGCCAAGGUUGCGCGUCCAACCGUGGUUUCCAGUCUUGGCUGCGCAUGGAAUCAGCUGGGGAGCUCUCAAAACACCCCCUCACCACCACAGCCAAGGUGAGACCCAUCACUGCAGGGUUUAUUUUCCUUACUCCCACCUUACGUUUCUAUUUCUUGGAUUUUCUGUUGUUUAUAAAGAAUCUGUUUGGGAAAAGCUUAGUAUCCAGUUACAGCUUGAGGCCCUGGCUCAGGAGGAGGUGAAAGGCCUCAGAGUGUUUUCUAGAAAAUGUUUCAGGGAAUAAAGAAGCCCCACACCUAGAAAACCAGUUCUCUCAGCCUCGUGUGGCAUCACCGGGGGCCAAUAAAAACUUCCAUUUGAGUUUACUGGUUAGUGUCUAAAUUGAUUAAACCUAGAAAUGGCUGGACAAACCCUGUACGGUUAGGUCCCCAAACAACUGCUCUUUUUAUAAGAACACGCCCAUUCUGAAGUCGCACUUGAUCCGGCCUUUGGUCAGCUCUCUUAGUUUCAACACAUUUGUUCCGGGGAUGUUGUAGUAUUGGGAGGAGGAAGAUUUGAGUCCACAGGCAGGUGAGAAGGAAGGUCUCAGAGUAAACAAUGAGGAUUCCACACCCUUAACGCCUGGUGAAGCUAAAAACAAAGCUUUGGGCAGACUGUUGCUGCCCCCUACCGGCAGUGAUUGGUGUUGACUCGUGAGAAAGAGUCGCGAGCCCCCUGGUGGUGGCCAAUCCCAGCUGGACCCUCCUCAUGCUGUUGCUCCAUGCUCCAGCAGCAAUGCUGUAGGCCUGAAGGACUUUCCCCUUCAGUAUAUCAGAUGGGGUAACGAGAAGAGGGAGAUGCACUCAUCUAGCAGUUUACAUCAUCUCUGGACCAUGUUCAUGUGACUCUUAAAUGAGCCUGCCUUUUGUAAUGUUUCAUAUUCUGUGACCAGAAAAUUUUGAUCAUGUGUUCAGAUAAUCAAACUUAAAACUUCCGGCCACUGAAGGCUGGGAAGGCGUGCAAAGCCGUCCUGAGGACUUGGAGGAGCAGGAAGACCAGAAGAACCCAACCUGUGGCUGCUUAAGGGUCAUCCAACAGGUGUUUGCCCAAACUACAGCCCCUCAACAUUGCUCAAGCAGACAUCAUUAGAAACGCGUUUAUUUGGUUUCAAGAUACUGCCACGAGUAAACGAACCAUGGAAAUCUCUGGAAAGGUUAAUGUGUGCAUCCUUUAUAUAAUAAGCAUAUUUAUCAGCUCACUUACCAGAAUUUUAUUGCAUAUUUAUUAAACAACUGCUAACUAAGACGCACUGAGCUGAGCGCUCCGAGGGAUACAGAUCUGAGUCAAUUGUAGUCCCUGCCUUCAAGGAAUUUACCAUCGUGUUGGAGAGGAGAUGAAGUUACUAACUGUGACCAAGACAGAACAAAGAAGUGCCACGAUAUGGGAGCAAAGUGCUGUCAAGUCUGGAGGCUUCUCCGCUCCUGCCAGCAUGUAACACUCUCUUCCCUGUCAUUACUCAGUGGAUUCAUCACAUCAAGCUGAGUAAAGCUUAUCUCGGUGAUUGUCAACCAGUGCCUCCCCGUGGGGUUUCUCACUCAUCCUUCCAUGGAUGACCAUCAGUCAAGAACACUGUAUGAAAUUUUGCAUUGUGUAGUUUGGAUUAUAAAAGCGCUAUAUAUGCUAAAUAUGCUUUCCUAAUCCUCUCUCCUCCCUCCCAACAGCCCCCACACUGCCAGGAGGGUUAGGGACUUUUACAUCGCACCACGCUUAGAGCAUGUUUUGAUUGGUGGGCCAAAUCC